CUCCAGAUCAUUUGCGGGCAUCCGGUAUGGUCACUUUGAUAUAGGACCAUAUCCAAUCCUUGUGACUCCAAGAUUAUAUGGUCCUAUAUCAAAGUGACCAUACCGGAUGCCCGCAAAUGAUCUGGAGGAG
rnacentral:pre_miRNA from 1 species